rnacentral:tRNA from 1 species
GCCACCUUAGCUCAGUUGGUAGAGCAGUUGCUUUGUAAGCAUCAGGUCCGCGGUCCGAAUCCGCGAGGUGGCU